rnacentral:tRNA from 1 species
UACAUCGGCCGGGAAACGAACCCGUGGCAGUCAAGCAUUCUACCACUGAACCACUGAUGC